UUAGUUGCUAAACUUACUAACCUUCAUGUUUAGGAAUCUUCUCUGUUUUGUGUUGAGCCAGCAGCAAACUUUUAGGUUGCUAUCUUUGUACUGUCAAGUGGAUAUUUGUACUGUCACUGGCACUCCUUCAAGCUGCUUACUACAGGCGUUUGAAAUGGUUGGUUUUGAAGUCACGUAAGCUGGUCCUCGAUGUUGUCAACUAAACUUGGUUUAUUCUUCUCCUUGAUGUUUAUCAGAGGAUUGAAAUCAGGGAAUAAUAUUUGUUUCUUGCUACAA